GGGCCGUUAGCUCAGUUGGUAGAGCAUCGGACUUUUAAUCCGCAGGUCGCUGGUUCAAAUCCAGCACGGCUCACCA
rnacentral:tRNA from 1 species